rnacentral:rRNA from 1 species
UGAAUACGAGACGCUAAGGCGUCGAAGUAGUGUAUGUCAUACUUCCAAGAAAAGCUUGCACUGUCAUAGAUAAAAAACGCCUGUACCAUAACCGACACAGGUGGGUAGGUAGAGUAUACUAAGGGGCGCGAGAUAACUCUCUCUAAGGAACUCGGCAAAAUAACUCCGUAACUUCGGGAGAAGGAGUGCCUUAUUCGUAAGGUUGCAAUAACAAGAUCCAAGCAACUGUUUAUCAAAAACACAGGUCUCCGCUAAGUCGUAAGACGAUGUAUGGGGGCUGACGCCUGCCCAGUGCCAGAAGGUUAAAGAAGUUGGUUAGCAAUUGCGAAGCUGAUAACUGAAGCCCUGGUGAACGGCGGCCGUAACGAUAACGGUCCUAAGGUAGCGAAAUUCCUUGUCGGGUAAGUUCCGACCCGCACGAAAGGCGUAAUGAUUUGGAUACUGUCUCGGAGAGGGGCUCGGUGAAAUAGACUUGUCUGUGAAGAUGCGGACUACCUGCACCAGGACAGAAAGACCCUAUGAAGCUUUACUGUAACUUGAAAUGGAAAUUGGACUUUAUUCGCGCAGCAUAGGUGGGAGGCGUUGAUUAUAAUCUUGCGGGAUUAUUGGAGCCAUCAGUGAGAUACCACUCUUGUAAUGUUAGAUUUCUAACUUUGAAUCAUUAUCUGGUCAAAGAACAGUUUCAGGCGGGCAGUUUGACUGGGGCGGUCGCCUCCUAAACGGUAACGGAGGCGUACAAAGGUUUCCUCUGAACGGUUAGAAAUCGUAUCUAGAGUGUAAAGGCAUAAGGAAGCUUGACUGUGAGACCUACAAGUCGAGCAGGGACGAAAGUCGGUCUUAGUGAUCUGACGGUACUGAGUGGAAAGGCCGUCACUCAACGGAUAAAAGUUACUCUAGGAUAACAGGCUGAUCUCCCCCAAGAGUUCACAUCGACGGGGAGGUUUGGCACCUCGAUGUCGGCUCAUCGCAUCCUGGGGCGGUAGUACGUCCCAAGGGUUGGGCUGUUCGCCCAUGAAAGCGGUACGCGAGCUGGGUUCAGAACGUCGUGAGACAGUUCGGUCCAUAUCCGGUGUAGGCGUUAGAAUAUUGAGAGGAGCCUUCUUUAGUACGAGAGGACCGAGAAGGACAUACCUCUGGUGUACCAGUUAUCGUGCCAACGGUAAACGCUGGGUAGCUAUGUAUGGAGUGGAUAACCGCUGAAAGCAUCUAAGUGGGAAGCCCACCUCAAGAUAAGUAUUCUCA